CGCAAGCCUGAUCUAGCCAUGCCGCGUGAGUGAUGAAGGCCUUAGGGUCGUAAAGCUCUUUCGCCAGAGAUGAUAAUGACAGUAUCUGGUAAAGAAACCCCGGCUAACUCCGUGCCAGCAGCCGCGGUAAUACGGAGGGGGUUAGCGUUGUUCGGAAUUACUGGGCGUAAAGCGCACGUAGGCGGAUCAGAAAGUUGGGGGUGAAAUCCCGGGGCUCAACCCCGGAACGGCCUCCAAAACUCCUGGUCUUGAGUUCGAGAGAGGUGAGUGGAAUUCCGAGUGUAGAGGUGAAAUUCGUAGAUAUUCGGAGGAACACCAGUGGCGAAGGCGGCUCACUGGCUCGAUACUGACGCUGAGGUGCGAAAGUGUGGGGAGCA
rnacentral:rRNA from 1 species